rnacentral:lncRNA from 1 species
GUUAGUCGGGAGGGGGCGCUGUACGCGCGCUGUACGCUUGCGCGAGGUGACGCCGGGGCAGGGCCGGAAGGAAUGCAGCGGCUGCCACGGAGCUCGUAGCUGCAGCUUUGGAGGAGUAAGCGGCGUGGUAGCGAAGGUCGCCGAACCCGCCUGGCUAGCCGGCGAGUUGAGUGGCGACUCUUUUGAAACAGAUGGUCACCAUGUUUAGAUAUUAGCAGUCCCGUAUGUGCAUGUCUGCAUUUGAAAAUGGAAGAGGGAAACAACAAUGAAGAGGUAAUUCACUUGAACAACUUUCACUGCCAUCGGGGACAAGACUUUGUAAUUUUCUUCUGGAAAACCCAGAUUAUCCAAAGAGAGAAGACAGAAUCAUUAUAAAUCCCAGUAGCAGUCUGCUGGCCAGCCAAGAUGAGACAAAGUUGCCUAAAAUAAGACUUUUUUGACUAUUCUAAAUUGACUCCUCUUGACCAGCACUGCUUCAUCCAAGCUGCUGACCUCCUCAUGGCCGACUUCAAAGUGCUCAGUAGUCAGGACAUCAUGUGGGCCCUGCACGAGCUCAAAGGACACUAUGCAAUCACCCGAAAGGACUUUGAGAGUCAUCAGCAUAUGGAAAAUCUCACCAGCCAGGAUGAGGUACCCAGAGAUACCAGGCCUUUUCUGAUGCCAUUAAAAAAUGGCAGGAGCUAUCACCAGAAACCAGUGGAAAAAGGAAAAAGAGAAAAGAAAUGAACCAGUAUUCUUAAAUUGAUUUCAAGUUUGAACAAGGUACUGGGCUGCUGGGGGAUCCCAAGUGAGCAGAGUCUGUUUUCUACCCUCGAGGAGCUCAGAGAAAAGGAAAUAGAUAAUUACUGUGUGAUGAGACUCCAGACAGAGGGGUUGGCAUCUGCACAUCCUUCCUGGGCAUCUCGUGGGCACUGCUCGAUUACCACCAGGCCUUGCACACCUGCCUCCCCUCCAAGCCCCUCCUGGGCCUGGGCUCCUCUGUGAUCUACGUCCUGUGGAACCUGCUGCUACUGUGGCCCCGAGUCCUAGCUGUGGCCCUGUUCUCAGCCCUCUUCCCCAGUAUGUAGCCCUGCAUUUCCUGGGCCUGUGGCUGGUACUGCUGCUCUGGGUUUGGCUUCAAGGCACAGACUUCAUGCUGGACCCCAGUUCCGAGUAUCCUCUAUUUCUCCUGGUUCAACGUGGCUGAGGGCCACACCCGAGGCCGGGCCACCAUCCACUUGGCUUUCCUCCUGAGUGACAGCAUUCUCCUGGUGGCCACCUGGGUGACUUACAGCUCCUGGCUGCCCAGCAGGAUUCCACUGCAGCUGUGGCUGCCUGUAGGAGGCGGAUGCUUCUUUCUGGGCCUGGCUCUGUGGCUUGUGUGCUACUGCUGGCUGCACCCUAGCUGAUGCUGGGAGCCCAACCCUGACCAGGUGGACAGGACCCAGAGUCUACUUUCCUCAGAGGGGUAUCAGCUGCCUCAGACCCAGUUAGCACAGAACUUUUUUCCCAAGGGUAAGGCUGAGGCUGCUUCGCCAGUGAAGGGAGAGGUGAACGGCGUCCUUUGAAGCAGGAUCAGACCCAGCCAGCAGAGAUGGAGAGUGACUGCUGGCAGAAGGCAGGCGAGGAUAAGCUAACGAUGCUGCUGUGGCCUCCAUGCACUCAGCAAGAGUGGGAUGCCUCUGCUGGGCCGUGCACCAGGGAUGGUGCUGAGUGGGGCAGAGGCCUGCCUUCAAGGAGUUCACAGUGAACAAGAUGAGAAGGGCUGGGCCCUGCAGGGUCAAGAGCCCCAAUUACGUACAAGACACUUUGGGAGGAAAGACGACUACCUUUUCUUUUCCCCCUGCCAUUGGUAUAGCUGGUGCCCCAAAACUUUCACCUCCCUCCCUGGCCACCUCUAAAAUGAUUGGUAUAGGGGCUUCCCCACCCCUUAGCUCCCCUAUCCUGGGCUAGAAGGCCACAGGGACUGUCCUCUAGAAUUCUUCCUCCCCUCCCCCACACCAUUCAUUCAAUUCGUGAAACAAAUCUUCACCGAGAGCAGUUUAUGUGCUAGGAACAUCAUUCUAUCCUUGCAACCUGGAACAAGACCAGCUACCACCUUAGCUUCAUCCCCUACUUGCACCAACCAGUCCCGGGUUAGAUCUCAAAUGCCGGAAGUCAGGGAUGCCCAACUCUGGGCAGCCCCAGUCAGAACCUCUGGGAUCUCAGUGAAGCUGGCCUGGCCUCUGCUCUUGCUCUCAAGGGGCUGCUUUUCAACCAAGAGCCUUGUGAGCCUGGUCUGAGCCUUGCACAGCCACUGAGUAUUUUUUAUUCCUUAGCCAGUGUACCUCCUACCUCAGAGUCUAUGUGAGAGGAAGAGAAUGUGUGUCCCUGUGGGUCUCUGCAAGUGACAGAUGUGUUGUUUUUAACAGUAUUAUUAGGUUAUGAUUAAAGCCUCAUGAAAUCCUCUAA